CCUAGAGUUGUAGGCUUUGCCUACCAUCUCUUACCCAUGUCUUUUGAGUACCUUCGUUUCCUCGGCGGGUCCGCCCGCCGAUUGGACAAACUUAAACCCUUUGUAAUUGAAAUCAGCGUCUGAAAAAACAUAAUAGUUA
rnacentral:misc_RNA from 1 species